AGCGAACGCUGGCGGCAGGCCUAACACAUGCAAGUCGAACGAACUCUUCGGAGUUAGUGGCGGACGGGUGAGUAACACGUGGGAACGUGCCUUUAGGUUCGGAAUAACUCAGGGAAACUUGUGCUAAUACCGAAUGUGCCCUUCGGGGGAAAGAUUUAUCGCCUUUAGAGCGGCCCGCGUCUGAUUAGCUAGUUGGUGAGGUAAAGGCUCACCAAGGCGACGAUCAGUAGCUGGUCUGAGAGGAUGAUCAGCCACAUUGGGACUGAGACACGGCCCAAACUCCUACGGGAGGCAGCAGUGGGGAAUCUUGCACAAUGGGCGAAAGCCUGACGCAGCCAUGCCGCGUGAAUGAUGAAGGUCUUAGGAUUGUAAAAUUCUUUCACCGGGGACGAUAAUGACGGUACCCGGAGAAGAAGCCCCGGCUAACUUCGUGCCAGCAGCCGCAGUAAAAC
rnacentral:rRNA from 1 species